UUCACUCUGCUCUCAACAACCAAGCAGUGCCACAGCAGAGAAGUUUAACUACGCACUCAGCAAUGUUAACCAGCAUAAUUGCAUGCCUUGCAGUGGCGAUGUGCGUGCUAUUUUUAAUGAAGUGUGUUGAUAUGUUUCUCGAAGCGCCGACUGAAGUGAAGUAUACAAUGGUUAUCCUUAUAUUAGUGCUUCUGUUCUACACUUCAUACAGAACUAGGUCCGACCGCCAUUAUGCAGAUGCCAGAAUCUUGUCACGAGUGCUUCCACCUCUGCGACGAAUUUAUAUCAAGCACUUUCGGCCCUCAACAAUCAUCAUCAAUUUUACAAAAUCUCCGAAUUGAUGGAGUUCUGUCAAGAUAUCAAAGGCAUGCUGAGAUAAGAACAUUAGUACCAGAACUUCAUACAGAAUAUCUAUUAAAAUUUUAACAGUAUUUUUAAUAAAAAAUUUAAAUUUGAUAUUUAUAUAUAGACACCUCGCUAAAUCAAUUUCAUUUUAAAAUUUUAAAUGUUAACUUUUGUAAUCUCGUUGUAAGUCACAUUCAUAUGAUGUUUUAAAAUAAUGUUGACUGAUGUAUUAAAGAAAAGAAUAUUUUCAAGCAUGUGAAGCCAUGCAUGAUACUUAUAUUUUUCAGCUGCACAUAAAGAAUGAAUGCGGGCAGGUAUCAGUGCAAGAAUUCUGUACAGAACAAGGCAGAGUAGUCAAGAGCUAUUGCAAAGUUUCAAUUUAUUUAUGUCACCCCUGUUUAAAGAAAUUUCUAUACUUCACUGAAACCUUUGAAAAAUAUUCAGUAGAAAUCCUUGGAAGAUAGUGUAAUAUUAAUAAUUCCUCUAUCCGCAACAGCAGACUAAUUUCAAAAAGCGGCAUUCUUCUUAGGACACUCUUAGUCAUUCAAUUGUGAAGCAAUAAAUUCACUCUCCUAAAAAACCUAAUGUUCAAUGCCGUUCUUACAAGAAGCGGCUACUGGUUCCUGCCCAUCAAGAUAUAUUUCGGUAUUCUCCCCCCCUUAUGAGACCAAGUCUUCAAUGUGAUCUCUUCACCUUUCAGAUUUAUCGAUUAAAACUUUACAUUUAUUUCUUGUUUCCCCGGUGCUUGUAAUGUG